GCCAGACUCCUACGGGAGGCAGCAGUGGGGAAUAUUGCACAAUGGGGGAAACCCUGAUGCAGCGACGCCGCGUGAGCGAAGAAGUACCUCGGUAUGUAAAGCUCUAUCAGCAGGGAAGAGGAUGACGGUACCUGACCAAGAAGCUCCGGCUAAAUACGUGCCAGCAGCCGCGGUAAUACGUAUGGAGCAAGCGUUAUCCGGAUUUACUGGGUGUAAAGGGAGCGUAGACGGCGGCGCAAGUCCGGAGUGAAAGCCCACGGCCCAACCGUGGGACUGCUCUGGAAACUGUGCGGCUUGAGUGCGGGAGGGGCAGGCGGAAUUCCUAGUGUAGCGGUGGAAUGCGUAGAUAUUAGGAGGAACACCAGUGGCGAAGGCGGCCUGCUGGACGAUGACUGACGUUGAGGCUCGAAAGCGUGGGGAGCAAACAGGAUUAGAUACCCGGGUAGG
rnacentral:rRNA from 1 species